rnacentral:rRNA from 1 species
GAUGAACGCUGACAGAAUGCUUAACACAUGCAAGUCUACUUGAACUUCGGUUUGGGUGGCGGACGGGUGAGUAACGCGUAAAGAACUUGCCUCACAGUUAGGGACAACAUUUGGAAACGAAUGCUAAUACCUGAUAUUAUGAUUUUAGGGCAUCCUAAGAUUAUGAAAGCUAUAUGCGCUGCGAGAGAGCUUUGCGUCCCAUUAGCUAGUUGGAGAGGUAACGGCUCACCAAGGCGAUGAUGGGUAGCCGGCCUGAGAGGGUGAACGGCCACAAGGGGACUGAGACACGGCCCUUACUCCUACGGGAGGCAGCAGUGGGGAAUAUUGGACAAUGGACCAAAAGUCUGAUCCAGCAAUUCUGUGUGCACGAUGACGUUUUUCGGAAUGUAAAGUGCUUUCAGUCGGGAAGAAAAAAAUGACGGUACCAACAGAAGAAGUGACGGCUAAAUACGUGCCAGCAGCCGCGGUAAUACGUAUGUCACAAGCGUUAUCCGGAUUUAUUGGGCGUAAAGCGCGUCUAGGUGGUUAUGUAAGUCUGAUGUGAAAAUGCAGGGCUCAACUCUGUAUUGCGUUGGAAACUGCAUGACUAGAGUACUGGAGAGGUAAGCGGAACUACAAGUGUAGAGGUGAAAUUCGUAGAUAUUUGUAGGAAUGCCGAUGGGGAAGCCAGCUUACUGGACAGAUACUGACGCUAAAGCGCGAAAGCGUGGGUAGCAAACAGG